UACGAAGGGUGCAAGCGUUACUCGGAAUUACUGGGCGUAAAGCGUGCGUAGGUGGUUCGUUAAGUCUGAUGUGAAAGCCCUGGGCUCAACCUGGGAAUUGCAUUGGAUACUGGCGGGCUAGAGUGCGGUAGAGGAUGGCGGAAUUCCCGGUGUAGCAGUGAAAUGCGUAGAGAUCGGGAGGAACAUCUGUGGCGAAGGCGGCCAUCUGGACCAGCACUGACACUGAGGCACGAAAGCGUGGGGAGCAAACAGGAUUAGAUACCCUGGUAGUCCACGCCCUAAACGAUGCGAACUGGAUGUUGGGUGCAACUAGGCACUCAGUAUCGAAGCUAACGCGUUAAGUUCGCCGCCUGGGGAGUACGGUCGCAAGACUG
rnacentral:rRNA from 1 species